rnacentral:rRNA from 1 species
UCAAUGGGCGCAAGCCUGAACCAGCCAUGCCGCGUGCAGGAUGACGGUCCUAUGGAUUGUAAACUGCUUUUGUACGGGAAGAAACACUGAUUCGUGAAUCAGCUUGACGGUACCGUAAGAAUAAGGAUCGGCUAACUYC